UGGGGAAUCUUAGACAAUGGGGGAAACCCUGAUCUAGCCAUGCCGCGUGUGUGACGAAGGCCCUAGGGUCGUGAAGCACUUUCGCCGGGGAAGAUAAUGACUGUACCCGGUAAAGAAGUCCCGGCUAACUCCGUGCCAGCAGCCGCGGUAAUACGGAGGGGACUAGCGUUGUUCGGAAUUACUGGGCGUAAAGAGCGUGUAGGCGGCCUGGUAAGUCUGCCGUGAAAACCUGGGGCUCAACCCUGGGCGUGCGGUGGAUACUGCUAGGCUAGAGGAUGGUAGAGGCGAGUGGAAUUCCCGGUGUAGCGGUGAAAUGCGCAGAUAUCGGGAGGAACACCAGUAGCGAAGGCGGCUCGCUGGGCCAUUCCUGACGCUGAGACGCGAAAGCGUGGGGAGCAAACAGGAUUAGAUACCCCUGUAGUCC
rnacentral:rRNA from 1 species